UACAGAGGGGGCAAGCGUUGUUCGGAAUUACUGGGCGUAAAGGGCGCGUAGGCGGCCUUCUAAGUCGAACGUGAAAUCCCCGGGCUCAACCCGGGAACUGCGUCCGAUACUGGAAGGCUUGAAUCCGGGAGAGGGAUGCGGAAUUCCAGGUGUAGCAGUGAAAUGCGUAGAUAUCAAGUGGAACACCAGUGGCGAAGGCGAGUCCCUGGACAAUACCUGACACUGAGGCACGAAAGCUAGGGGAGCAAACAGG
rnacentral:rRNA from 1 species